CUCCUCUUGCCUUGUUGCCUGAAUUGCGGCCUCAAUGCUUUUAAUUCCCUGACAAAGAUUUGAGAAAACAGAUUGAUCUGAGCAUUCAAAGUAAUCCUGCUUUGCACACCUGGAGAUGCAUCUCAGUUUUAACAACCUCCAGUGGAGGAAGGUGACCAAGAAGAAGAAGGGUUGGGAGCCAUGGAACUACUAGACAUACUGCAUCAGUGCAAAUGAUGAUAUAGAAGUAUUGUUCCAGUUGCUUCUCAGGGAGGAAAAUCAUAGAAAGAAAGCAAACAAACAAAUAUUGCUAUGUUUAUCUUCACAUGAAGCCCUAUUGUAGCAAUCUCAAUAUAUUGUUUGAUAGCUCCCAGAAGAAAAAGGAGACCAUUAUUGUAAGGCAAUCAAGACUCACAAUUUUGGCUUACAAGAUACAUUGGAAGGUUGGAGAGUCAAUCAGAUAUUCCAUUAGAGAUGCGAUUAUGAAAAUAAUGGACUAGAUGAAUGGGUGGAAGAAACACUGAAUGGAUGGGGGUUAUAAGAUAUGACUAAUGAUAUCUCUGGUGGUCCCUUAUUAGAGAUUGUCUUGGACCAUUGUCUGUCACGGGCACAAACUUCGAUCAUUGGAUCAAAAAUUCACAUGCAGCGGCAAGUACAGGACGAGAUCCUCGUUGGGCUUCUUGGGUUUGAAUCGCAAGGUAAGGCCCAUGCUCAGAGUCUGGCCCAUGAUUCAUGGCCCAAGAUGACUAUGGACGGCCAUAUCAUUCCAAAAACUUUCCAAUUGGUCUUGGACACAAAUGGUCUCUUGAACAUUGGAUAUGGAUAUACCUGAAAUGACUUUGAUUUCAUUUCUUAUGGAGCCGGUGAAAUUAUUUGUCCUGGAAGUGCAUAUCCAGUGUUUGCUAAUGAGAUUGUGCUGCAAAUCUUCUUAACGGGUGUAACUGGGCAUGCCUAAGGAGUCUGACAACCACUUGGAAAUAGUUUAGUUGGUUCUCUCUCUGAGUUUAUGGCGUAAAGAAUCGUGUCUAUAAUCAGGAGUUCGAUUCUAAAUUAGUGUAAUUAUUUUCAAGUGAUUUACGUUGUGCCUCGGCCCAACCAACCUCUUGGAUGGAUUUGUGUGCGCCUAGCCUGACCCGACUUCAAACUUAGUGGGUUGUCCAAAGAAUACGUUUGGACUUACAAGGGAAAGUUCCACUUGUUGCUACUGCAAUUCCACGAUAUUGUAGUGGAAACCAAAGGAUAGAAGUCUAAAACGACUUGAAUAAUGUAAAGUCUACGCACGGUUCCACGCUUGCGCGUUAGCCGCGGCUAAGGAUUCGGAAAUUUCCUCCUAAACCAAGGAUUCUAGCCUUUCUAGGAAAUUUGUUUAUUAACUUCUAUAUUUGCCAUUUGGCUUAAUUCCAAGCCAUUUUAUUCUUUUGUAAAAUUUGUGUAUGUGAAAAAACAUGUUUCCUGAA